rnacentral:rRNA from 1 species
GCCAAGGUAAAUGCAGAUGAACUGCUUCUAACAGUCCAUUGACUUGGACAAAUAUUAAUUUUAUGAUCUGAUCUCAAUCAGGUAGGACUACCCGCUGAACUUAAGCUUAUCACCACGGCUCCGGCACCRCUU